rnacentral:rRNA from 1 species
UGGGGAAUAUUGGGCAAUGGAGGGAACUCUGACCCAGCGACGCCGCGUGCGGGAUGAAGGCCUUCGGGUUGUAAACCGCUUUCAGCAAGGAAGAAGCGAAAGUGACGGUACUUGCAGAAGAAGCACCGGCUAACUAUGUGCCAGCAGCCGCGGUAAUACAUAGGGUGCAAGCGUUGUCCGGAAUUAUUGGGCGUAAAGAGCUCGUAGGUGGUUCGUCACGUCGGAUGUGAAAAUCUUGGGCUUAACCCCAGACCUGCAUUCGAUACGGGCGAGCUAGAGUGUGGUAGGGGAGACUGGAAUUCCUGGUGUAGCGGUGGAAUGCGCAGAUAUCAGGAGGAACACCAAUGGCGAAGGCAGGUCUCUGGGCCAUUACUGACACUGAGGAGCGAAAGCGUGGGGAGCGAACAGGAUUAGAUACCCUGGUAGUCCACGCCGUAAACGGUGGGCACUAGUUGUGGGAACCUUCCACGGUUUCUGCGACGCAGCUAACGCAUUAAGUGCCCCGCCUGGGGAGUACGAUCGCAAGAUUA